rnacentral:rRNA from 1 species
AUUGAACGCUGGCGGCAGGCCUAACACAUGCAAGUCGAAUGGUAACAGGAAACAGCUUGCUGUUUCGCUGACGAGUGGCGGACGGGUGAGUAAUGUCUGGGAAACUGCCUGAUGGAGGGGGAUAACUACUGGAAACGGUAGCUAAUACCGCAUAACGUCGCAAGACCAAAGAGGGGGACCUUCGGGCCUCUUGCCAUCAGAUGUGCCCAGAUGGGAUUAGCUAGUAGGUGGGGUAACGGCUCACCUAGGCGCCGAUCCCUAGCUGGUCUGAGAGGAUGACCAGCCCCACUGGACCUGGGAAACGGUCCAGCCUCCUACGGGAGGCAGAGGUGGGGAAUAUUGCAAAAUGGGCGCAAGCCUGAUGCAGCCAUGCCGCGUGUAUGAAGAAGGCCUUCGGGUUGUAAAGUACUUUCAGCGGGGAGGAAGGGAGUAAAGUUAAUACCUUUGCUCAUUGACGUUACCCGCAGAAGAAACACCGGCGAACUCCGU